GACGAACGCUGGCGGCGUGCUUAACACAUGCAAGUCGAACGGUAAGGCCCUUCGGGGUACACGAGUGGCGAACGGGUGAGUAACACGUGGGUGAUCUGCCCUGCACUUCGGGAUAAGCCUGGGAAACUGGGUCCAAUACCGGAUAGGACCACUGCCUGCAUGGGUGGUGGUGGAAAGCUUUUGUGGUGUGGGAUGGGCCCGCGGCCUAUCAGCUUGUUGGUGGGGUGAUGGCCUACCAAGGCGACGACGGGUAGCCGGCCUGAGAGGGUGACCGGCCACACUGGGACUGAGAUACGGCCCAGACUCCUACGGGAGGCAGCAGUGGAGAAUAUUGCACAAUGGGCGCAAGCCUGAUGCAGCGACGCCGCGUGAGGGAUGACGGCCUUCGGGUUGUAAACCUCUUUCAGCACCGACGAAGCGCAAGUGACGGUAGGUGCAGAAGAAGGACCGGCCAACUACGUGCCAGCCGCCGCCGUAA
rnacentral:rRNA from 1 species